rnacentral:rRNA from 1 species
GUGGGGAAUAUUGGACAAUGGGCGCAAGCCUGAUCCAGCCAUGCCGCGUGAGUGAUGAAGGCCCUAGGGUUGUAAAGCUCUUUCACCGGUGAAGAUAAUGACGGUAACCGGAGAAGAAGCCCCGGCUAACUUCGUGCCAGCAGCCGCGGUAAUACGAAGGGGGCUAGCGUUGUUCGGAAUUACUGGGCGUAAAGCGCACGUAGGCGGACAUUUAAGUCAGGGGUGAAAUCCCGGGGCUCAACCCAGGAACUGCCUUUGAUACUGGGUGGCUGGAGUAUGGAAGAGGUAAGUGGAAUUCCGAGUGUAGAGGUGAAAUUCGUAGAUAUUAGGAGGAACACCAGUGGCGAAGGCGGCUUACUGGUCCAUUACUGACGCUGAGGUGCGAAAGCGUGGGGAGCAAACAGGAUUAGAAACCCCAGUAGUCC